GCAUAUCAAUAAGCGGAGGAAAAGAAAAUAACAAUGAUUCCCUUAGUAACGGCGAGUGAAGGGGGAAAAGCUCAAAUUUUAAAUCUGCUAGGUUUUACCUGUCAGAAUUGUAAUUUGAAGAAGCGUUUUCCGCGUCUUGGUUGGCCCAAAUCCUUUGGGAUAAGGUAUCAUGGAGGGUGAGAAUCCCGUUCGGUUGACCUUAUGACGCUCUACGAUACGCUCUCUAAGAGUCGAGUUGUUUGGGAUUGCAGCUCAAAAUGGGAGGUAAAUUUCUCCUAAGGCUAAAUAUCGGCGAGAGACCGAUAGCGAACAAGUACCGUGAGGGAAAGAUGAAAAGAACUUUGAAAAGAGAGUAAAAUAGUACGUGAAAUUGUUGAAAGGGAAACGAUUGAAGUCAGUCGUACCGACGAGAAAUCAGCUUAUCGUGUGCGAACUUGUGGGCGUGCGUGAGUUUCGGCCUCGCUGUUUGCAUGUUUGUGCGCUUUGGGUGUACUUUUUCGUAUGGUAGGCCAACGUCAGUUUCGAUUACUAUAAAAUGACCGGAGGAAUGUAGCUUCGAUUUCGGUUGAAGUGUUAUAGCCUCUGGUAGAUGUGGUGAUUGGGACUGAGGAUUGCAACGAAUAUCCUUUGGGCUAUCCGUCUGGCCUCUGAAAGUUGCUUAGGUGCUGAAAGCUUGCUUAUGGUUAUCUAAGUUAACGGUCAACAGGUUAGAACGUGAUUACAUUCGUUAAGGAUGUUGACGUA
rnacentral:rRNA from 1 species